rnacentral:rRNA from 1 species
ACUCCUACGGGAGGCAGCAGUGGGGAAUAUUGCACAAUGGGGGAAACCCUGAUGCAGCCAUGCCGCGUGUGUGAAGAAGGCCUUCGGGUUGUAAAGCACUUUCAGUAGGGAGGAAGGUAGUGUAGUUAACACCUGCAUUAUUUGACGUUACCUACAGAAGAAGCACCGGCUAACUCCGUGCCAGCAGCCGCGGUAAUACGGAGGGUGCGAGCGUUAAUCGGAAUUACUGGGCGUAAAGCGCAUGCAGGCGGCCUGUUAAGUCAGAUGUGAAAGCCCGGGGCUUAACCUCGGAAUUGCAUUUGAAACUGGCAGGCUAGAGUCUUGUAGAGGGGGGUAGAAUUUCAGGUGUAGCGGUGAAAUGCGUAGAGAUCUGAAGGAAUACCAGUGGCGAAGGCGGCCCCCUGGACAAAGACUGACGCUCAGAUGCGAAAGCGUGGGGAGCAAAACAGGAUUAGAUACCCUGGUAGGAUAGCG